rnacentral:ncRNA from 1 species
UAGUAUCUUGCCUCAGUUGGUGCCAUCUAGCGGUUUAGAUGGCUGAAAUGGGAAUCUGGUGUGAAUCCAGAACUGACGCGCAGCGGUAAUAGAGAACGAAGGCUUAUUUGACACUGCAUAUUUUGCGGGAAGUCUAGCCGUAGGUUGCCAAGCUUUGGUAGUGCUCUUAAGUCCGAAUACCAGCCAGCAGCUGAGCCUAUAAA